rnacentral:rRNA from 1 species
UUGACCUCAAAUCAGGUAGGACUACCCGCUGAACUUAAGCAUAUCAAUAAGCGGAGGAAAAGAAACUAACAAGGAUUCCCCUAGUAACUGCGAGUGAAGCGGGAAAAGCUCAAAUUUGAAAUCUGGCAGCUCUUUGAACUGUCCGAGUUGUAAUCUAGAGAAGUGUUACCUGUGCUGGACCGUGUACAAGUCUCCUGGAAUGGAGCGUCACAGAGGGUGAGAAUCCCGUCUUUAACACGGACUGCCUG